UACGUAGGGUCCGAGCGUUGUCCGGAAUUACUGGGCGUAAAGAGCUCGUAGGUGGUUUGUCGCGUUGUUCGUGAAAACUCACAGCUCAACUGUGGGCGUGCGGGCGAUACGGGCAGACUAGAGUACUGCAGGGGAGACUGGAAUUCCUGGUGUAGCGGUGGAAUGCGCAGAUAUCAGGAGGAACACCGGUGGCGAAGGCGGCCACCUGGACGGUCACUGACGCUGAGACGCGAAAGCGUGGGGAGCGAACAGG
rnacentral:rRNA from 1 species